CUUUCACUUCAUACGUUACAUUUCAAAGCCCUAAAAAAAUAAAAGAAGCAAAUGCCUUUAUUUCUCUACUUUUCUCUCUCUCUCAAGUCUUUUCUCUCUCAACUCUUCUCUCUUUCUCAGCUCUUCUCUCAUUUUGCACCAUCGAACACAUCUUCAUCAACGACAUCUUCAUCGAAGACCUCAUCUAUUGUUCACGAUUCGGUCGAAAACCGAAAAAAUAGCAGAAGAAAUUGAAGUUGAGCUCACCGAGCAGCUUUUCAGAGACAAGAGAUAAGUUUGAAGAAUCUGCAACAUGCAUGUAGAGGGGAUUAGGGUAAAUGCCUAUGGGGAAGAAAGGAGAGAAACAACUCUACAAGAAGAAGAAGGUUUGGUAGCUAUGUUAGGUGAAGAAGAAGAAGAUUAUACAUAGAGAAUGGGUGAGGUGGAGUAGAGAAGCUCUGAUAUCAUAACGAGGUGAGGCGGAAUAGGUGAGGCGGAGCAAAGGAUCGAUAUGUGGGGUAGGCAUAGUUAUGUUAAUAAAUGUAUCUUCAUAUUACUUGGUAUGAUAUCUCGACCAAUGGAUGAUUUCUUUUUGGAAAAAUCAGUGGUAGAACUUUUCACUGAUAUGUAUUACAGACUUUCAUUACCAUC